ACACCCUAGAUGGAGUCCGAGAUGAGACGGGUGCUAGCCUUACUCCAUGGGCUAUUUGGACUCGAGCAUGGACAGCUGAAGAGAAUAGGCAUGGUGACCUUCUCAACAAGUAUCUUUAUCUCUCUGGACGGGUUGACAUGAAGCAAAUUGAGAAGACAAUUCAAUACCUGAUUGGCUCCGGGAUGGUAAGUUUACUGUUAUCUCAGAUAUUAGCCCUGUUUGGUGGAGAUUAAAAGCAAAAUUUUAGUCAAUUUUGAUCAAAGUUGACGAAAUGUGUGGUUGAAAAGUUGUUGGUCCUAUUAAAUAUGUGGCUAAAAAUUAUUUCGAAUUUGACUUAUUAAAAUCUUGAUUUUAAUCAAUACCAAACAGGGCAUAGUUAAUUGGUUUUGAAAUUUUUUAAUAAACCCCUGGAUGCCAUACAAACUCUCUCUUAUUGCUUGAAUUUCUUGGUGUCUUAACAUAUUUCAUACUAUAUCUAUAUGAAUUUGAAGAAUUAAAGCUUAUUAGAUCAAAUUUCACUUUUAGUAGCGGUGACAUUAGCAGUUCCUGAAUCUGUUUAUCUCCUCUUUCCCUCUCACUUAAUCGCCUAUGUGUGUGCAUGCAUGCUUGUCCAUUUAGUGCAUGUUUGAUAAGAAGUACUUCAAUUUCACGUUCUGAUAUAUACCCAUGUAUUUCCCAUUUUGUUUGUAAAGCGAAUAUGACUUCUCUUGGUAUGUACUAAUAUUAACUUAAUUUUUAGUAGCGGUGACAUUAGCAGUUCCUGAAUCUGUUUAUCUCCUCUUUCCCUCUCACUUAAUCGCCUAUGUGUGUGCAUGCAUGCUUGUCCAUUUAGUGCAUGUUUGAUAAGAAGUACUUCAAUUUCACAUUCUGAUAUAUACCCAUGUAUUUCCCAUUUUGUUUGUAAAGCGAAUAUGACUUCUCUUGGUAUGUACUAAUAUUAACUUAAUUUAUCUUUCUUUUCGCCUUUUUAUUUUCUAUCGUCUGCCAAAUCAUCUUACUUUCCCAAUGCCCGCCAUUCCAUUCUGUGUUAUAAUUUAACUUACGUGUGAUAACUGAUAGGAUCCUCGUACGGAGAACAAUCCCUACCUGGGAUUUAUCUACACUUCUUUCCAGGAGAGGGCUACCUUCAUUUCUCAUGGAAACACGGCUAGGCUUGCCAAGGAACACGGGGACCUGAAAUUGGCUCAGAUAUGUGGUAUCAUUGCUGCGGAUGAGAAGCGCCAUGAAACUGCCUAUACCAAAAUCGUCGAAAAGCUCUUCGAGAUCGAUCCAGAUGGCACUGUAUUGGCACUUGCCGACAUGAUGAGGAAGAAAAUCUCUAUGCCGGCUCAUCUGAUGUACGAUGGCCAGGACGAUAAUCUCUUCGAGAACU
rnacentral:lncRNA from 1 species